GAGAGUAUAGCUCAGUGGUAGAGUGCGUGCUUAGCAUGCACAAGGUCCUGGGUUCAAUCCCCAGGUCCUCCA
rnacentral:tRNA from 1 species